rnacentral:rRNA from 1 species
GAUGAACGCUGGCGGCGUGCCUAAUACAUGCAAGUCGAGCGAACAGACGAGGAGCUUGCUCCCCUGACGUUAGCGGCGGACGGGUGAGUAACACGUGGUUAACAUAACUAUCAGACUGGGAUAACUUUGGGAAACCGGAGCUACUACCGGAUAAUAUAUUGCACCGCAUGGUUCAAUAGUGAAAGACGGUUUUGCUGUCACUUAUAGAUUGACCCGCGCCGCAUUAGCUAGUUGGUAGGGUAACGGAUUACCAACGCAACGAUGCGAAGCCGACCUGAGAGGGUGAUCGGCCACACUGGAAGAGAGACAGAGUCCAGACUCCGGCAGUAGGCAGCGGUAGGGACUCUUCCGCAAGGGGGGAAUGCGUGACGGUGCAACGCCGCGUGAGGGAUGAAGGUGCUAUGACGGGAGAACUAUGUUAUUAGUGAAGUUGAAAUGUGUAAGUAACUAUGCAGGUCUUGACGGUACCGAGUGAGAAAGCCACGGCUAACUACGUG